GGACGAACGCUGGCGGCGUGCCUAAUACAUGCAAGUCGAACGGUCUUUCUAUGGAAGCUUGCUUCCACUGAGAAGAUAGUGGCGAACGGGUGAGUAACACGUGGGUAACCUGCCCAUAAGAGGGGGAUAACAUCCGGAAACGGGUGCUAAUACCGCAUAGUUUUCUUGAUCGCAUGAUCGGGAAAGGAAAGACGGCCUUUGUGCUGUCGCUUAUGGAUGGACCCGCGGCGUAUUAGUUAGUUGGUGAGGUAACGGCUCACCAAGACGAUGAUACGUAGCCGACCUGAGAGGGUGAUCGGCCACAUUGGGACUGAGACACGGCCCAAACUCCUACGGGAGGCAGCAGUAGGGAAUCUUCCGCAAUGGACGAAAGUCUGACGGAGCAACGCCGCGUGAGUGAAGAAAGGUUUUCGGAUCGUAAAACUCUGUUGUCAGAGAAGAACAAGUUGGAGAGUAACUGCUCCAGCCUUGACGGUAUCUGACCAGAAAGCCACGGCUAACUACGUGCCAGCCGCCGC
rnacentral:rRNA from 1 species